ACGCGAGAAAGGAGGUGGUCCGGCUGAGUAACUACUGGACGCGCGAGGUGGCUGCGCGCUAGCCGCCUGGCCUCAGGCCUUUCGUCGUAAGACGUGUCCGGCCAGGACGGCCGGCGAAUCCCCCGUGGUCACCCGGCCCGCGGGUGCCUGGACUCGUCCCCCGGGCGCACCGCCCGCGGGCCGUACCAC
rnacentral:sRNA from 1 species